GCCCCUGUAGCUCAAGUGGAUAGAGCGGCGGACUUCUAAUCCGCAGGUUGUGGGUUCAAGUCCCGCCAGGGGCGCCU
rnacentral:tRNA from 1 species